rnacentral:rRNA from 1 species
AUUGAACGCUGGCGGAAUGCUUUACACAUGCAAGUCGAACGGUAGAGGGGGCAACCCCUCGAGAGUGGCGAACGGGUGAGUAAUACAUCGGAACGUGCCCAGUCGUGGGGGAUAACGUAGCGAAAGUUACGCUAAUACCGCAUACGAUCUAAGGAUGAAAGCGGGGGAUCGCAAGACCUCGCGCGAUUGGAGCGGCCGAUAUCAGAUUAGGUAGUUGGUGGGGUAAAGGCUCACCAAGCCAACGAUCUGUAGCUGGUCUGAGAGGACGACCAGCCACACUGGAACUGAGACACGGUCCAGACUCCUACGGGAGGCAGCAGUGGGGAAUUUUGGACAAUGGACGCAAGUCUGAUCCAGCCAUUCCGCGUGCAGGAUGAAGGCCCUCGGGUUGUAAACUGCUUUUGUACGGAACGAAAAGGUCUCUCUUAAUACGGGGGGCUCAUGUCGGUACCGUAAGAAUAAGCACCGGCUAACUACGUGCCAGCCGCCGCAGUAA